rnacentral:lncRNA from 1 species
CACUCCUCUUCUACCUCGCGAGUCAGGGGUUUUAGGGUUACGACUCACACCACCGCUACGUGGAAGUAGCCUCCUCCUCCUUCGCUUGAGAUCCGCAGCCGCCCUCGUAGCAUCGCCUCGCUCCACUAUUUAUUGGUGCGUGUGAGGCGGUGGUAGCAAUUGCUCUUCUUGUUAGCACAUUGGGCACUUGGAUCGCUGGAGAAGCUGAUGGGGCUUCGUUUGGUGGUGGAGAUGGUGAAAGGAUCAUGAAGCAUGGUCCAGUAUAAUCAACCUCGACCAUUCCUUGUUGUUGGUUCGUCUUAGGAGCCAAUGGCCUUCAUUUCCUCCAAAAAUAUAUAGUCGAUUACCUUGCGUUCCUGUAGGUUGUGGAUGUUUGGGGAUAAACUAGGCCACUCAUGAGUUUGGGAGUGAAAGCUAUAAAUUAACGAUGUAUACGAAAUGAAUUGACGUUGAGUGAAGUCCUUAGGUCGGUCUGGGCACACUCUCCCCCUAUCAGCAAACAACUAAACACCAUAUGUGUACCAUAUGAGGCUCAAACCUAAAAUCCACAUUUUUCAAUAUUUUAUUUAACAAAUAUCACAUUUUAUCAUUUUAAUCCAGAUCACAAAAUAAAUCAUUCUAUAUGUGUAAUUGAGCCCAAAUGGUAAGUAAACUCAUCACUAAGCAUGGCUAAGCAUUUUCAUAGACUAUCAUUCUUAAUGUGACGAAAUGAAUUGUCCCUAAGGCUUGGAAUAUUUGUUAAGGUCUUUUGUGUAGUUUAGGUGAUAAUGCAAGUUAAGGAGUUGAGCUAACAAAUUUUACAAAAUUUUAAUGGGUUAAUGUACACUUAACAUGCAAGUUUUGCAAUCUUUUCAAAAACCUCCAAAUCAUAGGUUCAAUGUGAUAAAGAGGGGAGGUGGCUUGCCUUGCUCUUCCUCUCCUUGCUCAGCUACAAAGUAGGUCUCCUCGUGACUCGGCUGUGAAUCGUCUAAUCACACAUAUGCAAAGUCAAAAUUAUAAACAUACAUAAAAAUCCAACAUGCUCUAAAAUGAAUGCCUUUUCUUAACCUAAAAUGAAUGCCUUUUCUUAGGUUAAGUGUGUUCUGUGUUAAGUUGAUUUUUAGUGAAAGAGUUUUCAUUUUAGCAGUUUUCAUUUAAAGAUUACAAAUUUUUAAAGUGUUUACAUGAUAAUUAUGGUCCUAAGUGCAUUUCGGAUUUUUGAGACAUAAAUCUUUAUGAUUCUGUUAAGUUGAACAUUUUUAUGAUGCAGAGCAUGAAAAUAUGAUUCCAACAAAAUUUAGUUUGCAAAUUUUAGAGUUAGGAUGAAGUUUUGACAAAUUCUUAAAGUUCUACCAUUUUUCGGUUGUUUAUAAACUAGUUUUACAUUUUCUCUGUUUUCUUGAGUCAUUUCUCUCUCUCGGGUCCACCAGUCAGUGACUAUCAUUUUACGCAAAAGCCCCUGGGUUCUCGGAAAAUAGAUCCCGCAGCCCCUAGCACGUGUUUUAGGUUUUUAUGCAAAAAGACGCUUGAGUUUUAGUUUAUUUACAUAUUAGUACUGGUCCCACUUGUAAGUGACUGCUUGAGUUUCUAAUACAUCCCUGGGAAUCUUUAAAUUUCACAAGCCAUGCCCUUGCUCUGGACAGAGCAGAGCAGCAGCACAGCCGCGAGUUUCACGGCAUCACCGGCGGCGAACGGUGACGAUUCAGCCCAAGCUCCCAAAACGAAAAGUGUAUAGAACAACCGUGCGAACCCAUUGGUGGCUGUAUUGCAAGCUUUGGUGCUCUAUAGCGGUUGUUAGGAUGUUAGAAGCGGUGGUUAAGCUCAGCUUGCACAUGCAUGUGGGUUUUGAGGCUUGAUCUAAACGUGCAUGUGUUAGCUGGAGGUCCUAGGGACUAUUAGGAAGCUCACCAAGCAGCGAACGCGGCUCGGCGAAGUCUUGGCGACGGUGUGCUGGUUCGGCGACGGCGCGGCUGCUACGGUCGUCGUCGGCAGUGCUCCUCCGGCCUUGAUCUGUUCAAAGCGAAGGCACACAUCGAUUUGAGACGACACAAGACAGCUCUAGGCGAAAAAUAUUGUGCCGAAGCUCACCAGAGAAAGAGGAAGAGAGAAAUGGCGUCGGCGGUCGGAGUUGGGGAAGAAGAAGGGGAUCUCCCACCGUGGUCCACCUCGUGCCGAUUCCUUCGGGGUUCUUGGUCAAUGGGUGCUGGUGAAGAUGUUGGCGAGAUGGCCUGACCAAUGGUGGACUGUGGAAGCCGGGCGACGAGCAACAGCGAUGCGACGGUGCCCAGAGCGCGGCGGCGUUCCGAGUAAUGACGCGGUCGCGUUCCCGGAGAUUGG